UAGAGGAAGUAAAAGUCGUAACAAGGUUUCCGUAGGUGAACCUGCGGAAGGAUCAUUAACGAAUGCGAGACGGGGGAGCUGUYGCUGGCCUUUCGGGGCAUGUGCACGCUCCUUCGAAUCCAAAUUAUAAACCUGUGAACCAACGGCGGAGGAAUGGUUGGGACCCUGUAGGGUGUCGUCGCUCCGGUGAUCGAUGCUCGCCGGUGGGCCCUUCCGUCUUCUCCUGCUCAUCAUAUACUCUUAAAAGUCAUGUCCAGAAUGUCCUUUGCGUACUCUUGGUCGCAAUUGUAAUACAACUUUCAGCAACGGAUCUCUUGGCUCUCGCAUCGAUGAAGAACGCAGCGAAAUGCGAUAAGUAAUGUGAAUUGCAGAAUUCAGUGAAUCAUCGAAUCUUUGAACGCACCUUGCACGCUCCGGUAUUCCGGAGCGUAUGCCCGUUUGAGUGUCGUGGUAUCAUCGAACCCCAUCGUUUUGCGACGGUGGUGGCUCGGACUUGGAGGCGCUGCCGGGCCUUUUUCUAAGGCUCGGCUCCUCUGAAAUGCAUUAGCUGGGACUUUGGUCCGAGGGCUCUGACGUGAUAGUGAUGUUGCGUCGUGGUUCGAGGGCUUGUGUGGUCGCCGCUUAUAAUGGUCCGCCAGGACGUGAUGGUGUCUUUUUGAYGCCUUGACCUUUGACCUCAAAUCGGGUAGGACUACCCGCUGAACUUAAGCAUAUCA
rnacentral:rRNA from 1 species